UGGCGAACGGGUGAGUAACACGUGGGUGAUCUGCCCUGCACUCUGGGAUAAGCCUUGGGAAACUGGGUCUAAUACCGGAUAGGACCAUGCUUUAGUGUGUGUGGUGGAAAGUUUUUUCGGUGUAGGAUGAGCCCGCGGCCUAUCAGCUUGUUGGUGGGGUAAUGGCCUACCAAGGCGGCGACGGGUAGCCGGACUGAGAGGUUGGUCGGCCACAUUGGGACUGAGAUACGGCCCAG
rnacentral:rRNA from 1 species